AGGGAGAUGGUCUAAUGGUAUGACAACGGCCUUUGAAGCCGUCCGGUGCGGGUUCGAGUCCUGCUCUCCCUA
rnacentral:tRNA from 1 species